CGAGGGUGCAAGCGUUAUCCGGAUUCACUGGGUUUAAAGGGUGCGUAGGAGGGCAGGUAAGUCAGUGGUGAAAUCUCCAAGCUUAACUUGGAAACUGCCGUUGAUACUAUCUGUCUUGAAUAUUGUGGAGGUGAGCGGAAUAUGUCAUGUAGCGGUGAAAUGCUUAGAUAUGACAUAGAACACCAAUUGCGAAGGCAGCUCACUACUCAAUCAUUGACUCUGAGGCACGAAAGCGUGGGGAUCAAACAGGAUUAGAUACCCUGGUAGUCCACGCCCUAAACUAUGGAUACUCGACAUACGCGAUAUACUGUGUGUGUCUGAGCGAAAGCAUUAAGUAUCCCACCUGGGAAGUACGACCGCAAGGUUG
rnacentral:rRNA from 1 species